UCAGUGUGUGUGUUAGUGGAAGCGUCUGGAAAGGCGCGCGAUACAGGGUGACAGCCCCGUACACAAAAAUGCACAUGCUGUGAGCUCGAUGAGUAGGGCGGGACACGUGGUAUCCUGUCUGAAUAUGGGGGGACCAUCCUCCAAGGCUAAAUACUCCUGACUGACCGAUAGUGAACCAGUACCGUGAGGGAAAGGCGAAAAGAACCCCGGCGAGGGGAGUGAAAAAGAACCUGAAACCGUGUACGUACAAGCAGUGGGAGCACGCUUAGGCGUGUGACUGCGUACCUUUUGUAUAAUGGGUCAGCGACUUAUAUUCUGUAGCAAGGUUAACCGAAUAGGGGAGCCGAAGGGAAACCGAGUCUUAACUGGGCGUUAAGUUGCAGGGUAUAGACCCGAAACCCGGUGAUCUAGCCAUGGGCAGGUUGAAGGUUGGGUAACACUAACUGGAGGACCGAACCGACUAAUGUUGAAAAAUUAGCGGAUGACUUGUGGCUGGGGGUGAAAGGCCAAUCAAACCGGGAGAUAGCUGGUUCUCCCCGAAAGCUAUUUAGGUAGCGCCUCGUGAAUUCAUCUCCGGGGGUAGAGCACUGUUUCGGCAAGGGGGUCAUCCCGAC
rnacentral:rRNA from 1 species